UGCAAACAACAUCUAUAACCCAGCAAUC
rnacentral:piRNA from 1 species